rnacentral:rRNA from 1 species
UGGAUUCAGCGGCGGACGGGUGAGUAAUGCCUAGGAAUCUGCCUGGUAGUGGGGGAUAACGUCCGGAAACGGGCGCUAAUACCGCAUACGUCCUGAGGGAGAAAGUGGGGGAUCUUCGGACCUCACGCUAUCAGAUGAGCCUAGGUCGGAUUAGCUAGUUGGUGGGGUAAAGGCCUACCAAGGCGACGAUCCGUAACUGGUCUGAGAGGAUGAUCAGUCACACUGGAACUGAGACACGGUCCAGACUCCUACGGGAGGCAGCAGUGGGGAAUAUUGGACAAUGGGCGAAAGCCUGAUCCAGCCAUGCCGCGUGUGUGAAGAAGGUCUUCGGAUUGUAAAGCACUUUAAGUUGGGAGGAAGGGCAGUAAGUUAAUACCUUGCUGUUUUGACGUUACCAACAGAAUAAGCACCGGCUAACUUCGUGCCAGCAGCCGCGGUAAUACGAAGGGUGCAAGCGUUAAUCGGAAUUACUGGGCGUAAAGCGCGCGUAGGUGGUUCAGCAAG